AUCCUUAGGUUGUGGGUGUUGAAGGCUCUUUGAAAAUAGGGCCUAGUGCCCUUCACUAUGAGGUGACUCAGUUUCCUUGGCUAUGAAAUUUCUACCAUGAUACUUUUUUUCAGAAGCUUCCAAGACUGAUGCCCCAAAGAUCCGUAGAGAGCAGAGGCCAAGACAGAGUAGGGUAAGGUUGAGUCAUGUUUCUCCUCUCUCUUGCAAAUGCAAAAGCAGGCCUGCAAAGAUGCCACGUGCAUUCAUGAAUAUGGUGUGUGGUGCUCGGUGUGGACACACUGGCAGCCAGCGUCAGGUUGAGAAUGCUGCCUCAGUCUGGAGAGCCAAGAGAACCUACCUGCUAUCAGCCAUUGCAUUCCUGGAGUAGCUGAAAAGCUUUGAAAGGUUCAUCCCGGGGGAAGAAUGUCACAAAAUCUGGCUGGUGUAGAAAGAAUGUGAGAGAGAGAAAAUCAAUGCAUGUGCAUAUGCAUGUGUGUGAGAGAGUGUGAACAUUUGUGCACGUGUCACUAGAAGCUGGCAUGGACAUAGUGUGUUAGUUUUUCUUCCUCUGGCUAAAAUAGGGUCUCCCAAAUGUGGGCCAUGAGAAGAAGGGGAGAAAGACCAUGGAGGGGGACCGAAUGGCACAGGAAUAAGAGGCAGGUAGGUACCAGUGGGAGAGGUGUGGAGGGAAAGUGUCAGAAGACAGGCUUGAAAGUAAACACCAGAAAUGACUGUCGUAUCCCAAACCAUCAGCAGACCAGGAGAUGAAACCCUGUAAUCCAGAGUCCUUGUGGGACCACUCAGAUCAAAGCACUCUGGGCAGUCCAUGUCUCACACUCAGCCAGGAGCACAGGCUGUCUCAUGGCUGCACACUCCCGCCAGGGCAGAGAGGCCGAGAACUCAUGUCUGUGCAUAAUGCAGCAUCAUUUUCCCUUAGAGACCUGCUCCCCCCUCUGCUCCCCUCCCAUCUGCGUGAAGGACACCAUCAAUUUCCCAGUCAUCCAGGCUCAAAGCCUCAGCCAUCGCCCCAACAUCCGCUUCCCAUUCGAUCAGUUGUCAGAUCCUGGCCAGCACACCUGUCACAUGGACUGUCUUCUGUCUCGGCAGAAAUCCGCAUUCUAGAAGAGAGGGAAGAGCAAGGGAGAGAGACAGAGAGAGAGAAAAAGAGAGAAAGACAAAUUUCAGUUUAA
rnacentral:lncRNA from 1 species